ACUCCCUGGCAAUGGGCAAAGAGACACCUCGUUGGUGGAGAUGUUCUUGUAUCAGUCAGGGGCAGAGCAGAUGUCAGUCCUUGUUCAUCCUAGCUUGAUUUCUGGCUUGGUGGUCAAAGCUGUUUAAUGCCUAGGACACAUAA
rnacentral:snoRNA from 1 species